GAUGAACGCUGGCGGCGUGCCUAAUACAUGCAAGUAGAACGCUGAAGGAAGGAGCUUGCUCUUUCCGGAUGAGUUGCGAACGGGUGAGUAACGCGUAGGUAACCUGCCUGGUAGCGGGGGAUAACUAUUGGAAACGAUAGCUAAUACCGCAUAACAGUAGAUGUUGCAUGAUAUCUACUUAAAAGGUGCAAUUGCACCACUACCAGAUGGACCUGCGUUGUAUUAGCUAGUUGGUGAGGUAACGGCUCACCAAGGCGACGAUACAUAGCCGACCUGAGAGGGUGAUCGGCCACACUGGGACUGAGACACGGCCCAGACUCCUACGGGAGGCAGCAGUAGGGAAUCUUCGGCAAUAGACGGAAGUCUGGCCGAGCAACGCCGCGUGAGUGAAGAAGGUUGUCGGAUCGUAAAGCUCUGUUGUAAGAGAAGAACGAGUGUGAGAGUGGAAAGUUCACACUGUGACGGUAUCUUACCAGAAAGGGACGGCUAACUACGUG
rnacentral:rRNA from 1 species